UCCCCUUUUCCACUCAGGCCUUCCUACAGCAGCCCUACAAAGAAGUCAUUCAUCCUCCAGUGAUGGGGAGAAGUUUCACUGUUGGAUUUUUUUAAGAGCCUGUUGUCACGCAGAAGGAGUGCUUCCCUGUCUCCAGUCUCUGGCACCUGCCUGAACCCCAAAUGAACCUCCAGGCUGAGCAGGGCCAGUCCCUUGCCUGCCCCCGACCCUUGCAUAUGAUGAAGCUCCUGGGCCUCUCUGCAUUUCUCACCUGGUCCUCAGGUUGGUCACAGCUUUUCUUCCAAGGAGCAAGCAUUGUUUAAUUUCAUGGCUGCAGUCACCAUCUGCAAUGAUUUUGGAGCCCAAGAAAAUAAAGUCUGUCACUGUUUCCAUUGUCUCCCUAUCUUUUUGCCAUGAAGUGAUGGGACUGGAUGCCUUGAUCUUAGUUUUUUGAAUGUUGAGUUUUAAGCCAGUUUUUUCAUAAAUAAGCAGGGUGACAAUAUACAGCCUUGAUGUACUCCUUUCCCAGUUUGGAAUCAGUCCAUUGUUCCAUGUUGGGUUCUAACUGUUGCUUCUUGACCUGUAUACAGAAUACUCAGGCGGCAGGUCAGGUGGUCUGGUAUUCCCAUCUAUUUAAGA